GUAAUGCAGUUAACACAUUAAGUGUACCGCCUGGGGAGUACGGUCGCAAGAUUAAAACUCAAAGGAAUAGACGGGGACCCGCACAAGCGGUGGAGCAUGUGGUUUAAUUCGACGAUACACGAAGAACCUUACCUGGACUUGACAUAGUAAGAACUUUCUAGAGAUAGAUUGGUGUCUGCUUGCAGAAACUUAUAUACAGGUGCUGCACGGCUGUCGUCAGCUCGUGUCGUGAGAUGUUGGGUUAAGUCCCGCAACGAGCGCAACCCUCGUCAUUAGUUGCUAACAGUUCGGCUGAGAACUCUAAUGAGACUGCCUACGCAAGUAGGAGGAAGGUGAGGACGACGUCAAGUCAUCAUGGCCCUUACGUCCAGGGCUACACACGUGCUACAAUGGGGUAUACAAAGAGCAGCAAUACAGUGAUGUGGAGCAAAUCUCAAAAAUAUCUCCCGGUUCGGAUUGUAGUCUGCAACUCGACUACAUGAAGUUGGAAUCGCUAGUAAUCGUAGAUCAGCUAUGCUACGGUGAAUACGUUCCCGGGUCUUGUACUCACCGCCCGUCACACCAUGGGAGUUGAACUCAUUCGAAGCGGGGAUGCUAAAGUAGCUACCUUCCACAGUGGAUUCAGCGACUGGGGUGAAGUCGUAACAAGGUAACCA
rnacentral:rRNA from 1 species